GCUUGUCUAGCCUAGUUGGUAGAGCACAAGGCUCCUCACCUUGUGGUCCUGGGUUUAAGCCCCAUAGUUUGCA
rnacentral:tRNA from 7 species